CAAAAUAAUCAGAAAAUAGUAAUAAGAGUUCGUUCACAGUUCUUUUUCAAGGAAUCAUUCAAGUGCUUCCUCUUUCAGUUAAUAAUUCAUCCCUGAAGGUGACGUUCACCGAAGGACUAUGCGUUUUUGUUGUCACGUAUUGUAAACUAGGAAAGGUGCGGAGUUAAAAAAAACCAAAAAAAAAAACACUUUAGGUAAGUUAUCACCUACCUGGUGUGCGACACUGCAUAUUUUGGUAUUAAUUCGAUUCCAAUUAAAUACAGAGCCAGUAUCGCCAAUAUUGAUAUCGAUACCUUUCAAAAAUUCAAAUAGAUGCAUCAUCAAAUUGCUAAUGUCAAUUAAUGUUCAUUGUUAGAAUAAAAGUACAUUUGUUAUCCCAUAUUUACUCUUAUAGUAUUUUCAAAGCAUGCAUUUAGCAGUAUGUUGAUUGUAUCAUGUGUAUUGAAGUUGUCUUUGAGUCUGUUCACAUGUUGCUGCUAUGUGCUCCCCCAACUUUAUAGCAGCAACAGCUGUGUAACUAGGAACCGCCCUAAGAAAAUAAAAAGAGAGGAAGCGACAGAGUUUGUUCAGAGCGGUAGGAGUUUGUAAACUGCGAACAACUCUUAAUCGCUCUCCUCGCGAGUAUAAAAAAACAUCUCUUGUCUUCCUUCCUUGUUUAUUGUUUAUUAAAUGUUCUAGGUUGUUUGAACCUGACAUUAACUUGGUCCUUCGAGCCGGAUGCCAAAAUACCUAAGGAUUCCAGCGGGUGUGGUGGACUCCAGAAAGACCGUGGCCACGGCAGGCUCCCUAAAGAGAGUCUGAGAUCCUUUUCCAGGACUGGAGCUCGACCCACCAGCUGGGAUCUGACGGUUGACGGCAUUCCGAUGGAGGGAAGACAACAGUGGUUUGGCAGCUGGGCUCAUCCUCUCCCAACUUCACUUUGGAAGGCCAUGAGAAAGGGGUCAGUUGCCUCGACAAUUACAGUGGCGGAGACAAGCCCUACCUGAUAUCAGGGACUGAUGACCGUCAGGUCAAAAUCUGGGACUACCAGAAUAAGACCUGUGUUCAGACACUGGAGGGCCAUGCUCAGAAUGUCUCAUGCGUGAGCUUCCACCCAGAGCUGCCAAUCAUAAUCACCGGGUCAGAGGAUGGUACGGUACGUAUUUGGCACUCGAGCACAUACCGCCUGGAGCGCACCCUCAACUACGGUAUGGAGCGAGUGUGGUGUGCGUGCGUCCUCAGGGGGUACAACAAUGUAGCGCUGGGCUAUGAUGACGGCAGCAUCAUUGUCAAAGUGGGCCGCGAGGAGCCGGCCAUGUCAAUGGACACCAGCGGGAAGAUUUGGGCCUAGCACCGUCAAAUACAGCAGGGCAACUUGAUGGAAAUGGGUGAUGCUGAGAUUAAGGAUGGAGAGAGGCUCCCACUGGUGGUGAAAGACUUGGAAAGUUUUGAGAUACUGAGGUGGAUUUUUUUUCGCCUGUGGUUCCGAGUCGGAGGUCACCCGGGAGAACUCCGGCUUCCGUUGGGCAGGAAUGAAUGAAGACUUCGAGACACUUACCGUUUGGGCUAAUUUGAUUUAUUGAACAAGCCUUAGUGUCAUAGCAGCUGCGUACAAAGCCAGGACAACGAAAAAGCCCCCGAAAACCCCUGGAUCUCAGUUUAUCAAGGUUUAAUUCUCUGGGCGUGGAAUUAGCCCCUCCCUGGGUGCACCCGGAAGAUGGUCGUUCCUCAUGACCAUAUUUGGAACCACACCCGCCUGCUGGUGCUUCACAGUCUAGCUAAACUCACAUCCGGUACCCUUAUCUUAGAAGAUGCAAAACAGUCCUCUUUGCAGACCAGGACACCUGUUGUGAACCCAAGACCUGUUACUGUCUGGGCGGAGAAGGAAACCCCUAAUAAACAUACAAAUGGUUGAAGAAAGUCCUUUGAUGUAGAACUACAAAGAAAAGAUGGUUGGCUUGAAUACAGAUCUCCAAACAUUUGGCCCUCUCAAAGGAACUCUGACUAUGGCACUAUUGAAAUAUACAACACACCACCACAAGAGGAAAGUGAUUCAACCGUUUCAUGCAGUGUGAGAGUGGGCAACAGUGAUUGCACUUCAAUGAUUGUUCCAGUGUGGCUCUCUUGGGCAGCAGAGAAAGGCCAAGAAAUCAAAGCUCAAAGCUAAACUACAUAUUCCCCGCUUUAAUGAGAUCUCCAAACUCAUUACAAGACAUAGAAGCAGCAACUAACACCUGGCAAGAAACAACAAACCAGCGUUAGCCCAAAAAGAUAACCUAUUAUCUACAAUUUGGACAAAUCUACUUGGUCAAGAAAGCCUAUCAUGCGCCAAGGCAUAUACUUAAGGUUAACCAUUAACUUGGAAAAACAAUUAUCCUAAUAAGGCCAAAUCACUCCCUGCGUCCCCUUGUCGCCUCCUGAGGUCAUACGUGAGUACCAAACAGCCAAAUAAACCAAAUCUCCUUCCCGCGAAGAAUAACGACACGACGCUCGCCAAUCCUAAAUGUAGGCAUUUGUACGUGCAGCCUCGUCGGAGCGCCAAGGAUUCGCGGCUCUCAGUCGAAAAACCUCUCUCUUCAGAGACGAGGAAAAGAGAGAGAGCCAUAGCAAGCCUCCUUCAGAGCCCCUUGUAGCAAAUCGCCCAAGGGGACCCUGACACGGAUGACAAAACAUCCACAACAGAAUAAUACAAUUAUUGAAAUAAAUGAACAAAAACAGAGUAAACCACAAAAAUACAACUGUGGAAGCAAACAUAUCAAAAUACACACAAAUGAAAAUAGAAAAACUCAUAAAGGUGGUCUCCCUCCAUAUGGUCUACAGUUCGUGACAUUAACGAAGAAAUUCAGAACCCUUCCGCCCAGGUCCCGCUGUCCACAAUCACAGUACAUGAACAAGUCCCAGAAUCCAGGUUUAUACAAGCGGGACCCCAAACAGCUCCAGAACACUCCUGGAAAAACAAAAACAUCUGCCAAUAUUUUGCAACAAAAUCAAACAUAAUAUAACAAAUUGUCAAAUGGAUAUCUAACAAUGCAACAU